UCUAUGGAGAGUUUGAUCCUGGCUCAGGACGAACGCUGGCGGCGUGCCUAAUACAUGCAAGUCGAGCGGACGAAUCGAAAGCUUGCUUUUGAUUCGUUAGCGGCGGAC
rnacentral:rRNA from 1 species